rnacentral:rRNA from 1 species
ACGAACGCUGGCGGCGUGCCUAAUACAUGCAAGUAGAACGCUGAAGAGAGGAGCUUGCUCUUCUUGGAUGAGUUGCGAACGGGUGAGUAACGCGUAGGUAACCUGCCUUGUAGCGGGGGAUAACUAUUGGAAACGAUAGCUAAUACCGCAUAACAAUGGAUGACACAUGUCAUUUAUUUGAAAGGGGCAAUUGCUCCACUACAAGAUGGACCUGCGUUGUAUUAGCUAGUAGGUGAGGUAAUGGCUCACCUAGGCGACGAUACAUAGCCGACCUGAGAGGGUGAUCGGCCACACUGGGACUGAGACACGGCCCAGACUCCUACGGGAGGCAGCAGUAGGGAAUCUUCGGCAAUGGGGGCAACCCUGACCGAGCAACGCCGCGUGAGUGAAGAAGGUUUUCGGAUCGUAAAGCUCUGUUGUAAGUCAAGAACGGGUGUGAGAGUGGAAAGUUCACACUGUGACGGUAGCUUACCAGAAAGGGACGGCUAACUACGUGCCAGCAGCCGCGGUAAUACGUAGGUCCCGAGCGUUGUCCGGAUUUAUUGGGCGUAAAGCGAGCGCAGGCGGUUUGAUAAGUCUGAAGUUAAAGGCUGUGGCUCAACCAUAGUUCGCUUUGGAAACUGUCAAACUUGAGUGCAGAAGGGGAGAGUGGAAUUCCAUGUGUAGCGGUGAAAUGCGUAGAUAUAUGGAGGAACACCGGUGGCGAAAGCGGCUCUCUGGUCUGUAACUGACGCUGAGGCUCGAAAGCGUGGGGAGCGAACAGGAUUAGAUACCCUGGUAGUCCACGCCGUAAACGAUGAGUGCUAGGUGUUGGAUCCUUUCCGGGAUUCAGUGCCGCAGCUAACGCAUUAAGCACUCCGCCUGGGGAGUACGACCGCAAGGUUGAAACUCAAAAGGAAUUGACGGGGGCCCGCACAAGCGGUGGAGCAUGUGGUUUAAUUCGAAGCAACGCGAAGAACCUUACCAGGUCUUGACAUCCCGAUGCUAUUUCUAGAGAUAGAAAGUUACUUCGGUACAUCGGUGACAGGUGGUGCAUGGUUGUCGUCAGCUCGUGUCGUGAGAUGUUGGGUUAAGUCCCGCAACGAGCGCAACCCUUAUCUUUAGUAGCCAGCGGUUCGGCCGGGCACUCUAGAGAGACUGCCAGGGAUAACCUGGAGGAAGGCGGGGAUGACGUCAAAUCAUCAUGCCCCUUAUGACCUGGGCUACACACGUGCUACAAUGGUUGGUACAACGAGUUGCGAGUCGGUGACGGCGAGCUAAUCUCUUAAAGCCAAUCUCAGUUCGGAUUGUAGGCUGCAACUCGCCUACAUGAAGUCGGAAUCGCUAGUAAUCGCGGAUCAGCACGCCGCGGUGAAUACGUUCCCGGGCCUUGUACACACCGCCCGUCACACCACGAGAGUUUGUAACACCCGAAGUCGGUGAGGUAACCUUUUGGAGCCAGCCGCCUAAGGUGGGAUAGAUGAUUGGGGUG